CAAUAGCGUAUAUUAAAGUUGUUGCAGUUAAAAAGCUCGUAGUUGGAUUUGUGGCUGUCACGGGCGGCCUAUCACUUAGUGUUAGUGCUUGCCUGUGUCGCUAUCCUUGGGUGGAGCCCGUGUGGCAUUAGGUUGUCGUGCGGGGGAUGCCCAUCGUUUACUGUGAGAAAAUUAGAGUGUUCAAAGCAGGCUUAUGCCGUUGAAUAUGUUAGCAUGGAAUAAUAAGAUAGGACCUCGGUACUAUUUUGUUGGUUUGCGCACCGAGGUAAUGAUUAAUAGGGACAGUUGGGGGUAUUCGUAUUUCAUUGUCAGAGGUGAAAUUCUUGGAUUUCUGAAAGACGAACUACUGCGAAAGCAUUUACCAAGGAUGUUUUCAUUAA
rnacentral:rRNA from 1 species